UACGGAGGAUGCGAGCGUUAUCCGGAUUUAUCGGGUUUAAAGGGUGCGUAGGCGGAGUGCCAAGUCAGCGGUAAAAAUUCGGGGCUCAACCCCGUCGUGCCGUUGAAACUGGCGCCCUUGAGUGGGCGAGAAGUAUGCGGAAUGCGUGGUGUAGCGGUGAAAUGCAUAGAUAUCACGCAGAACCCCGAUUGCGAAGGCAGCAUACCGGCGCCCGACUGACGCUGAAGCACGAAAGCGUGGGUAUCGAACAGG
rnacentral:rRNA from 1 species